GUGCAUCACCAUGAACGGCUCAGUAAAUGAAUUUGAAGAAAAUAAGAUGAAAUAUUACAGAUUUAACAAGUUAUAAUUUAUUCAUCUCAAAAUAAUACUACUACAUGUCUUCCUAGAAGAUUUCCAGAAUUUCAUUACAA